GAUGAACGCUAGCGGCAGGCUUAACACAUGCAAGUCGAGGGGCAACACGGGUAGCAAUACCUGGUGGCGACCGGCGCAAGGGUGCGUAACGCGUGAGCAACAUGCCCUAUACAGGGGGAUAAUCCAGGGAAACUUGGUCUAAUAUCCCAUAGUAUUUAGAGGAGGCAUCUUCUAUAAAUUAAAGCUUCGGUGGUAUAGGAUUGGCUCGCGUGACAUUAGCUAGAUGGUGAGGUAACGGCUCACCAUGGCAAUGAUGUCUAGGGGUUCUGAGAGGAAGGCCCCCCACACUGGGACUGAGACACGGCCCAGACUCCUACGGGAGGCAGCAGUGAGGAAUAUUGGUCAAUGGGCGGAAGCCUGAACCAGCCAUCCCGCGUGAAGGAGACAGCCUUACGGGUUGUAAACUUCUUUUCUGUCAGAAGAAUAAGCUUGCGAGACGAGUGAUGCCGGUAUGACAGGAAUAAGCAUCGGCUAACUCCGUG
rnacentral:rRNA from 1 species